rnacentral:rRNA from 1 species
CCUACGGGUGGCUGCAGUGGGGAAUAUUGGACAAUGGGGGCAACCCUGAUCCAGCCAUGCCGCGUGUGUGAAGAAGGCCCUCGGGUUGUAAAGCACUUUCAGUGAGGAAGAACGCCUGGUGGUUAAUACCCAUCAGGAAAGACAUCACUCACAGAAGAAGCACCGGCUAACUCCGUGCCAGCAGCCGCGGUAAUACGGAGGGUGCGAGCGUUAAUCGGAAUUACUGGGCGUAAAGCGCACGUAGGUGGCUUGAUAAGCCGGUUGUGAAAGCCCCGGGCUCAACCUGGGAACGGCAUCCGGAACUGUCAAGCUAGAGUGCAGGAGAGGAAGGUAGAAUUCCCGGUGUAGCGGUGAAAUGCGUAGAGAUCGGGAGGAAUACCAGUGGCGAAGGCGGCCUUCUGGACUGACACUGACACUGAGGUGCGAAAGCGUGGGUAGCAAACAGGAUUAGAUACCCCGGUAGUC